AAAAAUAUUCAAUAAAAUAUUUUAUUUUCUUAUAAAACAAUAUUUAUAAAGUUACCGGUAAAUAAUUUUUGUAGCGUAAAAGCUAAAUAAAUUCAUACAUACUGUAAUACAGAUAACCAAAGCAUAAGAUUUAAUUUACAAUGACUAGUGGGCCCACGAACAACCAAAAGUAUCAAAGCGGUAAACCUACAGUUUUUUAGGAUGCAAGUUCAAUUGUAGCCCUCAACAAAGUGAGCUAUCUACUGACUAUCGUGAGCCUGAAAUGGGUGAAAAUGAGGGUGGUAAGAUUAUAUAAUCCCUGUGAGUAAACAAAUACCAUCUAAAAUAUCUAAAGCUGAGUAAAUGGAGACAAAUAAAAUAGAUUAGCAUAAAAAUGAUUCUCAGCAUUUCGAACUCAUUUUAAUAAGAUAAAAUAGAUUCAUUUCACCAAAAUAAACAACGAGACUUAUGAUUUACUGAAAAGUUUGGCUCGUGCCAAAAUCAUUCUCAUACUCAGUUAUCAGGGAUACCUUGACCGAGGGCUAUCCCAACUAAGUCCGCCAAGGCUGUUAAAAAGUUAUGUACGCAUAAAUCAUGUUUUUAUUUUGAAAACAUAGUCAUUCCUUAGCGUUGGCUGAGUUCACCCUCACGUGGUGGUUUGGCGUGAAGUGAACUCUAAAGUGUUAACCUCAGGAGUUAUCCAUUCGUGCCUCUCAUACUGAGGUAAGAAUAUAAUAGGGUUACCGUGCCCCUCUAAUAGGCUGGUCCACGGAACCCAUCCACUACAGCGACCAAUAUAUAACCCACCAAUUCAAUAAAAUUUGCAAUAGUAUGACAUGACAAUUAUUUUAUUUUACAGUCUCUCAAGGCAAAUUAACAGUUCAUACAUUUUCAACACAAAUAACAAUUCAGCCAUUCAUGCAAAUAUUAUCAUAAGCCAUUCAAUUCAAACCAUGAUUUAUAACACAACAAUUAGUCUCCAAUUACUCCAUUUUUAAAACCAUCAUUCAAUUUCAAGACAAUUUUUAAAAUCAUUUUCAUUUAAUCACAUUUUGCUUAUAAAACAUAAAGAUUUACCAUUUAAACUCAUUUUCCAUAAAAUCACAAAAUUGGAUAAAAACCACUUUAGAUAAUUAAGACGAUAAUAAGAUUACUAACUAUUUCGGGAGUCAAAUUUUGAAUACUUCGAUUCUUGAUCCUCGGGUACUAUCUCUUUACUUUUGCCAGAAUGCUCAUCACCUAGACAUAAUACACAAUAAGCCAUUUACUAUAUUUGUGCUAAAUUGUUAUAAAACCAAUUCAGGCUCUAUACUAAUGCAUGAAAUGGCAUGUGAAAUACUCGGGUAACUAUCUAAAUACGGUGUUCAAUAUAAAUUCAGUUAUGUACCUAAAUAAAACGAUAUUGGCCUAAUUCGAUCUAUCACCCGAUUAAUUGGCCAAUACGUCCAAUUCAACUCCAAAUAAUUCCAUUUCUCUCCCAAUACUUCAAAUCACCAAACACAAGUCAAAAAACAUAAAAUUUAGCAAAACCAUCAUCACAUUUUCUCUUGAAAAAUUCGGCCAUGGUGGGUGCAUCAACACUAUAAUUUUUCAAGCUUGAUUCUCACACCAUAAAUCACUAAUUCCUAACCAAAUCACUUGAAAUAAAAUCAAAAUCAUCAUCAAUAUUCCACAUGGAGAAUUCAGCCAAUGAUGGGUGAUGGAAGAACAUGAAUUUUUCUUGCUUGAUUUUCAUGCUACACAUCACUAACUAACUAAAAACACUAAAAUACAUUGAAAUCUAACCAAAUCCAAGUUCAAAACUCCUCCCCCUAUGUUCGGCCAGCAAGGGUAUCCUCAUGGAAACUUGAUUCUCAACCAUGGAAAAUGAAAAAGAAUGCAUAGGAAAGGUAGAUCACAAGCUAGAAUUGAAAAAUCUUACAUUUUUUCACUUGUUUCCUUGAAUUUUCACACUUUUCCCUUGAAUUUUUCCACCUAGGGUUUUUGUUCUUCUUUUCUUCCUUUGUUCUUCCUUUGGC
rnacentral:lncRNA from 1 species